UCCAAUUUUGGCGGAGUCAUUCGGAAGCGAUUCCGAGUUUUUGCUAAAUUUACCCAUCACUAGUACCGACUAGUACUAGUACAUGUCUCUCAAUUACCCUAGCAUGGGUAUGCGGGAAAACCCAACCCCUUGGGCGGAUGAGUUGCAUGGCUUAUUUCAGCGGG
rnacentral:ribozyme from 1 species